UAGAGUUUGAUCCUGGCUCAGGAUGAACGCUAGCUACAGGCUUAACACAUGCAAGUCGAGGGGAAACGAUAUUGGAAGCUUGCUUCCGAUAGGCGUCGACCGGCGCACGGGUGAGUAACGCGUAUCCAACCUGCCCAUCACUUGGGGAUAACCUUGCGAAAGUAAGACUAAUACCCAAUGACGUCUCUAGAAGACAUCUGAAAGAGAUUAAAGAUUUAUCGGUGAUGGAUGGGGAUGCGUCUGAUUAGCUUGUUGGCGGGGUAACGGCCCACCAAGGCGACGAUCAGUAGGGGUUCUGAGAGGAAGGUCCCCCACAUUGGAACUGAGACACGGUCCAAACUCCUACGGGAGGCAGCAGUGAGGAAUAUUGGUCAAUGGACGAGAGUCUGAACCAGCCAAGUAGCGUGCAGGAUGACGGCCCUAUGGGUUGUAAACUGCUUUUAUAAGGGAAUAAAGUGAGUCUCGUGAGACUUUUUGCAUGUACCUUAUGAAUAAGGACCGGCUAAUUUCGUGCCAGCAGCCGCGGUAAUACGGAAGGUCCGGGCGUUAUCCGGAUUUAUUGGGUUUAAAGGGAGCGUAGGCCGGAGAUUAAGCGUGUUGUGAAAUGUAGACGCUCAACGUCUGCACUGCAGCGCGAACUGGUUUCCUUGAGUACGCACAAAGUGGGCGGAAUUCGUGGUGUAGCGGUGAAAUGCUUAGAUAUCACGAAGAACUCCGAUUGCGAAGGCAGCUCACUGGAGCGCAACUGACGCUGAAGCUCGAAAGUGCGGGUAUCGAACAGGAUUAGAUACCCUGGUAGUCCGCACGGUAAACGAUGGAUGCCCGCUGUUGGUCUGAAUAGGUCAGCGGCCAAGCGAAAGCAUUAAGCAUCCCACCUGGGGAGUACGCCGGCAACGGUGAAA
rnacentral:rRNA from 1 species